GUGCUCACUUCGGCAGCACAUAUACUAAAAUUGGAACAAAACAGAGAAGAUUAGCAUUGCCCCUGCGCUAGAAUGACAUGCAAAUUCGUGAAGAGUUCCAUAUUUUU
rnacentral:snRNA from 1 species